rnacentral:tRNA from 1 species
CGGGAUAGCUCAGUUGGUAGAGCAGAGGACUGAAAUCUCUACCCCUUUCUUAAUAUUAA